GGACGAACGCUGGCGGCGUGCUUACCCCCUGCAAGUCGACCGGAAAGGCCCUGCUUUUGUGGGGUGCUCGAGUGGCGAACGGGUGAGUAACACGUGAGUAACCUGCCCUUGACUUUGGGAUAACUUCAGGAAACUGGGGCUAAUACCGGAUAGGAGCUCCUGCUGCAUGGUGGGGGUUGGAAAGUUUCGGCGGUUGGGGAUGGACUCGCGGCUUAUCAGCUUGUUGGUGGGGUAGUGGCUUACCAAGGCUUUGACGGGUAGCCGGCCUGAGAGGGUGACCGGCCACAUGGGGACUGAGAUACGGACCAGACUCGUACGGGAGGCAGCAGUGGGGAAUAUUGCACAAUGGGCGGAAGCCUGAUGCAGCAACGCCGCGUGCGGGAUGACGGCCUUCGGGUUGUAAACCGCUUUCGCCUGUGACGAAGCGUGAGUGACGGUAAUGGGUAAAGAAGCACCGGCUAACUACGUG
rnacentral:rRNA from 1 species